rnacentral:rRNA from 1 species
UAACUGCUUGCACCUUGACGGUACCUAACCAGAAAGCCACGGCUAACUACGUGCCAGCAGCCGCGGUAAUACGUAGGUGGCAAGCGUUGUCCGAAAUUAUUGGGCGUAAAGGGCUCGCAGGCGGUUUCUUAAGUCUGAUGUGAAAGCCCCCGGCUCAACCGGGGAGGGUCAUUGGAAACUGGGAAACUUGAGUGCAGAAGAGGAGAGUGGAAUUCCACGUGUAGCGGUGAAAUGCGUAGAGAUGUGGAGGAACACCAGUGGCGAAGGCGACUCUCUGGUCUGUAACUGACGCUGAGGAGCGAAAGCGUGGGGAGCGAACAGGAUUAGAUACCCUGGUAGUCCACGCCGUAAACGAUGAGUGCUAAGUGUUAGGGGGUUUCCGCCCCUUAGUGCUGCAGCUAACGCAUUAAGCACUCCGCCUGGGGAGUACGGUCGCAAGACUGAAACUCAAAGGAAUUGACGGGGGCCCGCACAAGCGGUGGAGCAUGUGGUUUAAUUCGAAGCAACGCGAAGAACCUUACCAGGUCUUGACAUCCUCUGACAACCCUAGAGAUAGGGCUUUCCCUUCGGGGACAGAGUGACAGGUGGUGCAUGGUUGUCGUCAGCUCGUGUCGUGAGAUGUUGGGUUAAGUCCCGCAACGAGCGCAACCCUUGAUCUUAGUUGCCAGCAUUCAGUUGGGCACUCUAAGGUGACUGCCGGUGACAAACCGGAGGAAGGUGGGGAUGACGUCAAAUCAUCAUGCCCCUUAUGACCUGGGCUACACACGUGCUACAAUGGACAGAACAAAGGGCUGCGAGACCGCAAGGUUUAGCCAAUCCCACAAAUCUGUUCUCAGUUCGGAUCGCAGUCUGCAACUCGACUGCGUGAAGCUGGAAUCGUUAGUAAUCGCGGAUCAGCAUGUCG